UUGUACAAGGUCGUUUGAGCCACACAAGCUAAUUCAUUCAACUUGGCUUUAGGCACACACUGGAAGUGUUCUGACGAUUUCAUUACGCGGGAGUAGUGUUAUUUGUUCCCUACUUAGCUUCAUCUUCAAAGUAAUAGUGUGCCGGAGUAAAGCUACACCGUUUGUGCCCAAAGAGGGCGAAUAUACUCCGUUGAAGGGUGUCAAAUUUGCAGAAGACGGAGGUAAACGUGGGAAGAACAGUGUAACAUUCGCAGAGAGUUGUUGGCAUUCUCCUUUCUUGAAGUAGACUAACCCAGUUUCGAAGCUGUACGUGUCUGGACAUGUGGGCCAAACCAUUGCCUUCAAUAGCAAACAAAAGCUUGAAAGAAGCAAAACAGCAGGGAACGAAGUAUCGGCGUUAAUAGUUAUCACCCAAUUUUGUUACAUUAUAGACAAGCAAAUGCUCGGGAGCUAUCUCCAGGAAUGAGUGAACGACUAUCAGCGUGGCAGAAGAAGAAAGCGACAAAAAAAACGCCUUCAUGUGUGCACAAUCAAAAGAACGACUUUACAAAGUACCCAAUAGAUACUCACUCGCCGAGCGCAGUUUUAGCAGUGAGAUUGAACGUAUGAGAACCACUAAAAAGGCGGCUGGUUGGUUGGCCGGUUGGUUCCUCGAGGAAUGGCUCAACCCGCUAACCCACCACGGGGGAUCGGCCAUGAAUCGUGCGGCAGUAACCAUGCCAGCAUUGUUGCUUAACGCUUCGACGUUUUGACGAAGCUCAAACACACGUUUAUCAUUGAUAAGCCGAACGCCGAAGCUUCCCAUAGAGAGUUUGCCCAAAUACGUGCCAUUGCGUAAAAUUAAUGUACUCUCAUUGAUCGUAUGAAAUUUGACAUGUAGCUUAUGAGUAAUGCGAGUUUCUGAUAACUUGUUUCAUUCGUGUCAGCACACUCACAUUUGCAGCUUGAAGAUCUGUCCGCUUAUACUGUAAACAUGCAAAAAGAAAAGCGAAACUUAGACAAACAAAACCUGGAAGGCAGCCCAUCGCCUUGAACUUUCCUUGCUCUGGAUAGCUUUGACAGGUGUUUAACAAUGGCGGUUAACGAUGGUAAUGUUGAUAAUCCAAGCAUCUGGCACAUGAUUAUCUUGGUGUAGCUCUCGUCUUCGAAAUAGUCACGUGGUACGAGAUUCACAGUGCCAAACAGCGCUUUUUCGCUCCUACAUAUCACUUUCAUGUUAUUCUAUCUCGAUCGCGCUAGAGGCAUUGUGCUCUGAUGCAGACAGCGCGGAGAGAGAUAUGAUUUUCACGAAAGUUUUCGAUCUAUAGAACACAAUGGGCGAGGCACCUGAAAAGUGGUGCGUUGGUUGCGCUCUUGAUAAGUUUAUCACAUGGUUUUUUGGCCGGCAUUGUUUGUGAAAAAAAAUUUAGGGAACAAAGUACAGUCUUUCAGUUACUUCUUCCUUCGCAUCUACAUUUGUAACCACUUUAUAAACAAUUUACUUUGAGGAAUUUCUCGCAAGAAUAACGAAAUCAUUGUGAGAGCUAUCCCUGCCCGACUUUGAGCCUAGUUAUCAUUGCUGUGCCAAAAAAUAAGCUGACCGCCAUGCCAACGAAAUCCGCGCUUUCGAGUCGUGUCGUUCAGCUGUUCAACCACGAGCGAAUACAAAUCUGUCAUCGAACGUAAUGCGGGGUGCCCUAUAUCUAGCAGAGAAUCUCCAAUAUCAUCUUUGAAAAGGGACAUGCGAGGAACAUUGUACAUUAGAACAAAAGAAAGUAACAAUAAAAAAAAUUAACCGAGACGCUUCUAUCGGGGCGUACUUCGAUACGCUGCCAAUCUGUCGGGUUGGUUCAAUCGCGUCUGUGUGUAUAAUCACCUCGCUGAAUGCGCCGGAAGUAUGUACAGACUGAAAGAGAACCCUGUUGCAUGGUGACCACAGUUGUGUAGGACUUUUUUCUGAGGCCGUUUUUUCUUUCGUAUUUUUGUUUAUUUUGUUUCUUUUUUUAUUAUUCAGUCAUUUGACGAUGUCGUUGCUUCCUUUCUUCUCCAAUCCCGUUUUGUGUGCGGUGACUCGGGCGAAAGAAAAAAAAAAGCAUAACUUGUGUGUGUGCGUGUGUGCGCAUAAUGUGCUGGAUUAUGCGCGCUCUGGGCGUGCAGUGUAACGGUCCCAAAGAAGUCUAUAAUUGUGGUCUAUAGAAGACGACCCCCCGUGUUAGUUAAGGCUUCAACCGAGCGGCCACCGUUUCACCUUGUAAAAUGAUGUUUCAAAGGGACAUUAUGAAGAAAAAAAUGUUGGUUUUUAGAAAGGCCAACGAGAGUUGUGUAGUUCCAUUCUUUCGAAUUUCGCGCCAAAAAACUCCAGCGUCAGUAAGUCGAUAUGACGUCAUAAUAUUAUAUAACGUCAAAAUUGAUCACGUCAUUCUGAUGUCCUUAGUUUCGAAGUAUUUGUUGAGUACUUAAGGUCAUCGUCACUCAUUAAAUGUUUAUGAAGUUCGAUAAGCUCAGUCUUUCGCACCUUUCUAUGAUUACAAUGCGACGUUUUGAUUUAUGUAGCUCAACUGAUUUUUCUCUUUAAUGUCUCUGUAAAAUGCAAGUGUGCUCGCUUAUCAAUCGACCUUCUUUAACUCCUUUUUUUUACGUGUCCUCUUGGAAGUGGUGUGCGAGUUUUGAACGUUUGGUCACCUCAUAUCAUAUCUUAUCUUUGCGUUUUGAUUCUUUUUGACCAGCUUUGUUGAUCACAAACUGUUCGUUGAAAGUUUUAUAUUGCUUGUUAGUUAAAAUCCUUGACCUCCGGUGAAAAGUGAUAACGCGAAGUUAGGUUGAGUUAAUUACAAAAAAAAAGAAACUGUGGGGGAUUCACGUUACUUCAUUACAAACAAGAGCCGUGCUCUUGGUUAUUCUACUUUGGGGUUGUGUACAGCUCUUUGCAACGCAGGGAUCUUGCGAAUGAAAUGCUCAAUUAUCAUCAUCAUUUAUAGACCAAUCGACUACAACGACCUCUCCGUGUGGAGAUGGUUGAGAUUUUUUAACCGGAGGCCAAGGAUGAAUCCUUAUAGUCUAGCUGAAGAAAAAAAAAGUUUCUAGUUUGCAUACUCUUUCGUGCUUUUCUUUCUUCUCUUCGUUAGAAACAAAUAUAUUGUGUGUGUGAAACUGCCACGUGACUCUGCUACACCGCGACGUUAGCGCAUUCACACGUACUCAAAUAAACCUGUGAGUGUAUAAUAGAACACCGUUUUUCUGUAGGCGAAAGACAGGUUGUAAAAUUGUUUAUAUGAAAUGGACUCUACUAUAUCGAUGUUUUAUAGUCUCGGUUUAUAGCACGCAGCGCCAUUUAGAAUGACGCGAAAUGCGUGCUUGAACGAGAUCCUCUUUGGGGGCCGCCGAAAUAAGGAGAAACCGUAUGUACACGCUGGGUUGUUUGACUAUUGUUUGCCGUAUUCCACCGGCAUGAAAUUGAGACGUGCGCGGGUUGCUAUGAUGGUAUGAGCAGACAAAUGAAGCAUAAUGAGUAUUGACGUGGUAGUAUAGCCAGAAUUUGGUUGCUAAACAUAAAAAGUUUAGUCCUAAUCCGAAUCCUAAUCCGAAACGUUUAGUAUAGCCUUAAAACUUGACCUCUAACGCUUAUCGUGCGUGUCAGGUUGCAUCUGCGCAUGCGUAGUACGAGCGCGCAAGUGUCAUAACCCUCAGUUCAAGUCGUAACGAUAUGUCGGAACUUAGACAAGAGCCUGAGCGUAUACAAGCUGUGAGCAGCAGGAUUUGUCGCAAUACAUUGUGUUGUUGCACUCCAACUUCAAGUGCACGCUGUUGUGUGCCUCAUUUAACGGUGUAAUACAUUUCCUGAGUGCUUGUUUGCUCAUAAAGAUUCCGUGGGCACCACUGAUUAUAUAACAUCGCUUUAUUUUCCUAAAACCUAUAUGUAUCAAACAUAAUUAGAGCUUUCGUAAACUAUAGCUAAGCACAUCUCCAAAUAUUGCUCGAAAAUGAACGCUAAAAUGGUGAUAACUUCAUUCCUACGCACGUGACGCGGUCAAAUGUUCGGAAUGUGGAAAUGAGAAGAAAAAUAAUGAACAAAACAAAACAACUUGCUUGUGUCUCAAUUCCUGCCGGUGUAAACAUUGUGAGCGCUUGCUCAAUAGUCGUUGCUUCUCUACUGGCCUGUUUUGUGAACAAAGCGCACAAACAUACCUGCUGCAAUUUUCUAAGUGAAAAGAAUGCUUGAAGUCACGUAUUUGUUACACACUACGUACACUUCCUAAGAACUUGCACCUAAUUCAAGUAACACUUGUUUAAAUCACUGAAGAUGCACUUAAAAUGCAGCAGUCAAGACAAUCCGAUGCUCAGGCUUCGCACAUUUGGCACAGCCGACUAAGCAAACUGUUCAUCUGAUCAGGCCGAGCUAGGUGCAACAACACUAUAAGUCUAUAAUUCAAUUCAUACCAGCACUCACCGCGCGGCAUACACAUUGUCCUUCGCGAGGCAACAACACAGUCACCUAAAAUUGUCCAAACCUUAGACUCAUCACAAAAGAAAUUGAAAAGCAGGUCCCAACAGAGAAGCAGCGGUUGUCCGUAAUACUCGGCUUUGGGCGAGUCAUUAUGUAUGCACAUACACUCAAUAGACUGCUAAUUUAUGUGUUCAUAAAUUGAGGGGUUAUGGGCAAUUAACUGUGAAUAUAUUACCGAGUAUUGGGUUGACAUAACUAAAACACAAUUGCGUUGUAUCACGCUCCAAAGUAUGUCUAUCCCAAAGGAAGGCUUGAGCGUGUAUCAUGCUCAGCUUUAGCUAAUCCCUAAAGGUUCAGAAAUCACUAAAAAAAAAUAGUAAGGAAAUAGGAUGACGCCCAUAUUUUGUAAAGACGGGCAAAACAAAUCUCUCCCUGCAUUUUGACCGCGUGUUUUGUAUAAAAUUUUCUCCGAUAAAUAAAAAGAAACAUAUAGAGAAAGAUUAUAUGGGUUUGUUAUAGAAUGGUGAGGUCGCGCAGAUUUAACUUCUUGGUGUUGUUUUCGUGUUUGGUUGCGCUAAGUUUUAUACAGCGAAUAGUCCCUUACGAAGAGUCGCUAUUGUGUUAUUGUUUCGCAAUAAAUUGCUCUUUCUUUUUAUCAGUGCAAAGAUGCAAGAUGUAAGAUCUUUCACUGGUUGUCUGAAAUGCUGCGUGGACCCGUUGGUGUGCUUUUGUGCCGCGUCAUGUUCUGAACCUGCUUUGUUUGGAGCACAUGGAACAAAAUGAUGGUUGUAUUUGUCAUGGGUGUAAGCCACAGUGAGAAUGCAGGGUGACUUCGUUUGUUUUUAAACAAUGAUCUGUCACUAAAAACUCGAAGACACGACUGAGAACGUGUUUUCACUUUGUAUGCCUGAGAAUAAAGGCUAUGAAAACA
rnacentral:lncRNA from 1 species